rnacentral:SRP_RNA from 1 species
CCGUGCUAGAUGGGGAACUGGCGGUGCCUUGUACCCGCAAACCGCCAUAGCGGGAUCGAAUUCCCUUCCAAGGGUCGAGAUUCUUGGAACUGCCGCGGUCCGGAAGCGUUGAGGGUUGGGUCCUGCGCGGCAGGAGCCUCUGAACCCCGUCAGGUCCGGGAGGAAGCAGCGGUAAGGAGUUCUCUCCUGGGCGCCGCAGGGGCGCCUGGCCGGAGCCGAAGGCCCUCGGUAAGCCGGGAGGCUCGAUUCGACGAAGGGUGCACGG